rnacentral:rRNA from 1 species
CACGUAGGGCGCAAGCGUUGUCCGGAAUUAUUGGGCGUAAAGAGCUCGUAGGCGGUCUGUUGCGUCCGCUGUGAAAACUCGGGGCUUAACCCCGAGCCUGCAGUGGAUACUGGCAAGCUAGAGUGCGGUAGAGGGUAGUGGAAUUCCCGGUGUAGCGGUGAAAUGCGUAGAGAUCGGGAGGAACACCAGUGGCGAAGGCGGCUACCUGGACCAGCACUGACACUGAGGCACGAAAGCGUGGGGAGCAAACAGG